rnacentral:rRNA from 1 species
UACGUAGGUGGCAAGCGUUGUCCGGAAUUAUUGGGCGUAAAGCGCGCGCAGGCGGUUAUGUAAGUCUGAUGUUAAAGCCCGGGGCUCAACCUCGGUUCGCAUUGGAAACUGUGUAACUUGAGUGCAGAAGAGGAAAGUGGAAUUCCACGUGUAGCGGUGAAAUGCGUAGAUAUGUGGAGGAACACCAGUGGCGAAGGCGACUUUCUGGCCUGUAACUGACGCUGAGGCGCGAAAGAGUGGGGAGCAAACAGG